rnacentral:lncRNA from 1 species
UUAACCAACAAAUACCGGAUAAAAUUUCUAAAUUUUGAGCGCUGCUAGAUCUACAACAACCCGUUUGGUUCGGGGUUAAGGAAUGGAAUAACCCCUUAACCCCGAAGUUAUUCUCAAACACCCAAUUUGCCCCACCCCACUACUCCAACCAAACAAAACACCAUUUUACCCACUAUCUUUCUUAUCCCACAUACUCCAACCAAAUACUAUUUUAUCUAUAUCCGGACUAAACCCAAUUCUCAACUAAAUACAAAAUUACUCUAACCCUACCUUAACUCUGAACUUAACUCUAUCUCUAGAAUAAUAAGUUUUUACUUAACCCCGAACCAAAUGGUUAUAGACUUUACAUUUCUCAAAAUUUCUAGAGGUAUGAAAUAAACACCACAGUUUU